rnacentral:rRNA from 1 species
UACGUAGGGUGCGAGCGUUAAUCGGAAUUACUGGGCGUAAAGCGUGCGUAGGCGGUUCGCUGUGUCCGAUGUGAAAGCCCCGGGCUUAACCUGGGAAUGGCAUUGGAAACUGGCGGGCUUGAGUGUGGCAGAGGGGGUGGAAUUCCGGCGUGUAGCAGUGAAAUGCGUAGAGAUGCGGAGGAACACCGAUGGCGAAGGCAGCCCCCUGGGUUAACACUGACGCUCAGGCACGAAAGCGUGGGGAGCAAACAGG